rnacentral:rRNA from 1 species
CCUACGGGGGGCAGCAGUGGGGAAUAUUGCACAAUGGGGGAAACCCUGAUGCAGCCAUGCCGCGUGUGUGAAGAAGGCCUUCGGGUUGUAAAGCACUUUCAGCGAGGAGGAAAGGUUGAUGCCUAAUACGUAUCAACUGUGACGUUACUCGCAGAAGAAGCACCGGCUAACUCCGUGCCAGCAGCCGCGGUAAUACGGAGGGUGCAAGCGUUAAUCGGAAUUACUGGGCGUAAAGCGCACGCAGGCGGUUGGAUAAGUUAGAUGUGAAAGCCCCGGGCUC